CAGGCCCUGAAUCAAGGCUGGCAGCCUAAAGAGAUGUCUUUCUAUGGUCUGUUGGCCAUUUGAGAACUUGGGCAGUGAAAUGGUCAAUUCAUUAGAAAGAAACAGCU
ensembl:snoRNA